rnacentral:misc_RNA from 1 species
GAUGAAGAACGCAGCGAAAUGCGAUAAGUAGUGUGAAUUGCAGAAUUCAGUGAAUCAUCGAAUCUUUGAACGCACAUUGCGCCCUUUGGUAUUCCUUAGGGCAUGCCUGUUCGAGCGUCAUUUAAACCUUCAAGCUAAGCUUGGUGAUGGGUGACUGUCCGCUUCACGGCGGACUCGCCUCAAAAUUAUUGGCGGCCGGUACAUUGGCUUCGAGCGCAGCAGAAACGCGAACUCGGGCCCGUCGUAUUGGCUCCCAGAAGCUAUCUUCACAAUUUUGACCUCGGAUCAGGUAGGGAUACCCGCUGAACUUAAGCAUAUCAAUAAGCGGAGGA